rnacentral:rRNA from 1 species
AAGACCUUGCGCUUUUGGAGCGGCCGAUGUCUGAUUAGCUAGUUGGUGGGGUAAUGGCCUACCAAAGCUUCGAUCAGUAGCUGGUCUGAGAGGACGGCCAGCCACACUGGGACUGAGACACGGCCCAGACUCCUACGGGAGGCAGCAGUGGGGAAUUUUGGACAAUGGGCGCAAGCCUGAUCCAGCCAUGCCGCGUGAGUGAAGAAGGCCUUCGGGUUGUAAAGCUCUUUCAGCCGGGAAGAAAAGGUUGCGACUAAUAAUCGCAAUCCAUGACGGUACCGAAAGAAGAAGCACCGGCUAACUACGUGCCAGCAGCCGCGGUAAUACGUAGGGUGCGAGCGUUAAUCGGAAUUACUGGGCGUAAAGGGUGCGCAGGCGGUUUUGUAAGUCAGAUGUGAAAUCCCCGGGCUUAACCUGGGAACU